CCUACGGGUGGCAGCAGUAGGGAAUAUUGCUCAAUGGGGGAGACCCUGAAGCAGCAACGCCGCGUGGAGGAUGAAGGUUUUAGGAUUGUAAACUCCUUUUUUUAGAGAAGAUUAUGACGGUAUCUAACGAAUAAGCACCGUCUAACUCCGUGCCAGCAGCCGCGGUAAUACGGAGGGUGCCAGCGUUACUCGGAAGCACUGGGCGUAAAGAGUGCGUAGGCGGGGGGAUAAGUCAGAUGUGAAAUCCUGUAGCUUAACUACAGAACUGAAUUUGAAACUGUCAGUCUGGAGUGUGGGAGAGGUAGGUGGAAUGCGUGGUGUAGGGGUAAAAUGCGUAGAGAGCGAGAGGAAUACUCAUUGCGAAGGCGGCAUGCUGGAACAAUACUGACGCUGAUGCACGAAAGCGUGGGGAGCGAACAGGAUUAGAUACCCGGGUAGUC
rnacentral:rRNA from 1 species